UUAGACAGGAUUUCAGUGGGAAUUUCUCUGGAGCUGGAAUACUGAAGUCAUGCUGACUUUUUGUGCAAAGUGAAAAUGGCACAGACUCCUAGACACAUCCAUUCACAUACCAAUGGAUCCAUGCAAUAUUUGCUCUUGUAUUUGCUUUGAGAAUGUCACAGCAGCACAGAUACUGCAGUUAGGUGCAUGGCUGUGGUGAAGCACUUUGAUUUAUUUCCCCAGACUACAAGGACUUUUUCACUGCCUUCUGCUAUCAGCUAAGAAAAAGGAGCUUUUUAUUUUCACAGUGGCACUCCAAGCUUUCUCAGAUCUCUGAAAUGAGUGAUCCAGAUGUUAAAGGACACAGCAGGACUCAAUGGGGAUUUGGAAAAGACUGGCAAAUAGGUACACAAGACUGUCCUCUGAGUCACACAAUUUAGUAAACUGUGAUUAUACUAAACCCCAAAUCAGAAAACUGGGAAAUUAUGGGAAAAUGUCUGAAGGCAUGUUGGAAUGUUUAUGAAAGAAAAUAGAAGAAAGUCAAAUUUCCAGUGUUUCCAUAUAAUGGUAAGCCAGACAGGACAUAAUACCUACUUUUCUUAGGAACUUAGAACUAACGAGCAAGGUCUUUUAUGUCUGAUUAGACCAGGAGAAAUUGGGACCAGAAGAAAAAUUUGUGUCUUCAGCAGUCUCACUGAGGAUAGAUAGCAUCAUGUUCUGGGCUAAGUCUGUGAAAAAGAUGGAUGAAAAUGACACAAAUAAAUACUGAACUCAUUAACUGGAAAGAGCAUCUCUGUCUCAGCCACCGAGGAGGGGAAUGACUGUCUUUGAUCUUGGCAGUAGCAGUUCAGUCUGCAGUUAGUAUGUUCAUGAAAUACUGAGAAGCAAAACACGGAGAAGUACACAUUGGGCCCUAGAAGGACAUACUAUGUCAGUAAAUUAGCAUGGGAAAUUAUUCCUCCUCUCACAUGAGAAAUACAUGUGUUAGCAGAAGAUCUGAUGUAAAUUUCCUUAGGCAGAGACCCUGCAUCACUGUUCUCCCUGCCAACCUAAAGGUUAAAUACUUAGCCCUAUAGUUAAAUACUGUGCUUUUUGGUUCAAGCAAUUUCUGUGAAGUGUCAGAAGUUAAUGUGUGUGGGGGAGCGUGUGUGUGUGUGUGUGUGUGUGUGUGUGUGUGUACACAUGGUUUUUUUGAGAAAAGGAUUUUGCUAAAAAAGCUGUAAAGGGAAUUUAUGCUGGCAAACCCUCAGGAAGAAUAGGGGAAGAAAGGGUUUUGAUAAUACUAACAUUAGUUACAUUUCUGUGCUGGGCUUUGUGGGUGUAUUUCAGUGAAUAAGAGUACUGAUAAGGUGGCACAUUAAGUCCCUGGACUGAAGGCAUAAUGUGAUAUCACCAGGAACAGAAACAUGUUUGAGAUUCAACUUUUCUGACACAUUCAUUAGUACUAUUCUUGCAAAAAUUUCAGUAUGAGAAACGCUGACCUGAGAAUAAAAGUUUUGGCAGCUAUUUGUCAUUAUCUUGCUCUAUCUCCAAGUUAACCGCAUGCAGGGAGUGAGACUGUACUUGAGAACACCUGGAAAACAUCUGUGUUUUUAAGGAACAACACAAUUAAGCUCUCUCCUUUCAUCGGCAGGAGACCACACUUCUACUGCAUAGCAAUUGAAUAUAGUUUUUCUUUUAUGAUCACCAAAACUAGUGUACAGUAUGCAGAAUGUUUCAUGGGAAAUAUGAAGUGUUCAUUGCCCUUAUUCACUGAAGAGAUUGGAAAGAGAUGGAAAUCCAUUCUAAUUUAGCACCUGCUUUUGUCAUCCUCAACAUUUGCAGUCCAUGUGCUGUAACUCUUGCUUUACAGCCUGUCAAGUUUGUUUACAGAAGCCUCACCCCUGGAGCAAGCAAGAUAACCAAAGUAACCUGGUCAAAGACAAGGAAGAAAAGACUUCAAAUACGGGAUGAUGGGAUCCUGCAGAGGGAACAUGGACUCCUUAAUCACUCAGUAUUGUUUCUCAGGGGAAAGUUUCUCAUCUAUCCCUUUUUUCCCCCUCUUCUUACCCACAGAUAAAAGGUGUAGCCCCCUUGCCUUUACAUGCCUGCCCUUUCCAUCCUUCCCCACUCCGGCAUUUGAAUGCAGUUUUUCUGUAAAACACAAGCAGUAAACUCAAAGGAGGGGGAACCCCCCCCGCCCCCGAUAAAUAUAUCUAAAUGGGUAUAUUCCCUUUUCCCAAACAUUCUACUGAUUAUUUUCCCUAAAACAUCUACUUUUUUGUUCUGUCAGUCCCUAGCCGCUCUCCUGGCCUUGUUGAAAGCUUUUUAAUUCAGAGCCAAAGAGGAGGCCAGCUGACUGCAGGCAGGGCCUCACCUCAAUCUGCCUCCUGCAGCCUCAGCCCUCUCUGAGAGGGAUGGAUCACUUAAUUGUAAUUAUACUGCGCCAGCGUUUGCCUUUGCAAGUGCAGCAACUUUCAUCAAAGCACUUUUCGAAUAUAAGAGACAAGUACAAUUUCAAAAUAGAGCAGUUUGAACCAUUCUAUUUAAUCCAAUAAAAUGUAGUGGCAAAUGGUAUUUAAAAAAA